GUCAAGAACACUGCGAUUUUGCGAAUGUAGUUACUGUAGUCACUCGAAGUUUUGAAUGUUACAAAAGGAUUAAAAUGUAAGUCUCUAUCGCUUUCUACAAUUAUUCUGCGGCGUUUUUGAGGUGCCUCUCAAAACUUGGAAAUGGCGAUGGACAUUGGUUGCUCGGAGCAGAAUAAAUGUUGAUGUUAAAAGUUCCUCCGAAAAUGCUUCCAGCGAACAUGUUAUUUAAACCGCCAUGAAACGUGUACUGAGAAGCAUGUGCUGCGGAAUUCGUUGUGUAUUUGUGACUGACAUCUGGUUCAACUGAUAAGGAAACGGCAUUUGCUGGAGAUUGCUGGUGUUCGCCAAGAUAUUGGAGAUGCUUUUGUGUUGCGGUUCAUUGAUGUGGCUGUAGUUAUUGAUGGAAUGCAAGUUUCGAUGGCCAGUGAUCUGCAUGAUGUCGUUUGGCGGAACGUUGUUUUCAGAAAGUUUCUGGACAAGAUGCUUGCUGGCACUAUGAUUCGUCAGACGUUUGUCUUCAGGGAAACCCGCUGCUUUCGCCAUUCUCUUCAUUAUCGAGAAAAUAGAGCAAACCCGUACAACCGAUAGUGCUCAAGACGUUGCCGAUUUAAAAUUAUAAGCAAAUGAAACGUAUCUUCAAGCUGGUCGUGACGUUGUGGCUAUGGCGAUUGGGCUUAGAUAUUGGGACAUCGUGAAUGAGAUCUACAUUCUAUGAGCAUAUAGGGUCCACCCAGGUAACAGACUCACGCGCGAUUAUAUAAGCAUUCGGCUUUCCAUGCAAUCGAGCUACAAUAAAACGAUCACCAAGCUGUCCUGAAAACGUUGGUUACAAAGUCUUUACUCAUAUUACGGAUUGUGACUGGGCUAUAGAAAUGGCGACAACAAGAAAGCAAUGAACAUGAGUUUCAUUUGUAUCCGUUUAACUAUCCGUCUACAUUUAUCGUAAAUAUUUAAUUGUAUGUGUGUCCUUCACAGCACGACACUAUUUGAGGUUAUGUGUGUUGACAUAGUUUGGAUCAAUGCUUAUUGAGAUAUUCUUUCGAAAAAACAAUAAUGUAUUAAGAUUGUGUCGAACGGCGUGGUCAACAUCAUUAACAUCAUUAUCACCAUCAUUUCUUUUCUUCUUCUUCUCCUUCUUCUUCUUUUUAUUAUUAUAACAACAAUAUUGUUUUUUCUUUUUUACGUGAGAUAUCAGUAGACACAACAAAUAACUUAUCACUUAAUUGCAAUGUAUACGUUUUAUUCGCGUUAAUAUGUAAUAAAUGGAAUAGGUUAACGGAAGUAGAAUGCUACAAUACACAUGCAUAUCAGUUGUUCGAUGUUAUUUUAUAAAAAUAUGUAUGUCGACUGAUUUCAACCUAUGUCGUUACAAACUGUAAGCACAAAAGUGUUUAACAAAAACAGGGAAAUACAAAGUCGUGUUUAACGUAUUUAAUACACAAAUGUAUCGUUAGUUUCCCCAGUACAAUAUAAUUAAACCAAUUUUGUUAGCAUAAACAAAUCGAUAUGUAUAAAUAAAUUAUGAUAAAUCGGUG